GCCGGGUGCGGUGGCGGUGCCUGUAAUCCAAGUUACCGGGAGGUGAGACUGGUGGAUCGUUGAGCUCAGGAUCUCUGAGCUGCAGUGGACUAUGUCGAUCGGGUGUCCCAAUAAGUUCGUAUCGAUAUGGUGCUCCUGGGGGAGGCCGGGACCACCAGGUCGUCUAAGGAGGGUGCACCGGCCCAGGUCGGAAACGGAGCAGGCCAAAGCCCCCGUGCCGCUCAGUAGUGGGAUCGCGCCUGUGAAUAGAGGCUGUAGUGAAGCCUGAGUAAUACAGCGGGACCCAGUCUUUU
rnacentral:SRP_RNA from 1 species